rnacentral:misc_RNA from 1 species
GAUGAAGAACGUAGUGAAAUGCGAUAAGUAAUGUGAAUUGCAGAAUUCAGUGAAUCAUCGAAUCUUUGAACGCACAUUGCGCCCUCUGGUAUUCCGGGGGGCAUGCCUGUUCGAGCGUCAUUACAACCCUCAAGCUUUGCUUGGUAUUGGACAUUGCCAGUUUCUGGCAGGUCUUAAAAUCAGUGGCGGUGCCAUUUGGCUUCAAGCGUAGUAAUUCUUCUCGCUUUGGAGAUCCAAGUGGUUACUUGCCAAUAACCCCCAAUUUUUUCAGGUUGACCUCGGAUCAGGUAGGGAUACCCGCUGAACUUAAGCAUAUCAAUAAGCGAGGA